rnacentral:rRNA from 1 species
GACGAACGCUGGCGGCGUGCCUAAUACAUGCAAGUCGAACGCAGUGGGGACGGGUGAGUAACACGUGGGUAACCUCCCAUCAGAGGGGAUAACACUUGGAAACAGGUGCUAAACCGAUACUGAUGGAUGGACCCGCGGUGCAUUAGCUAGUUGGUGAGGUAACGGCCCACCAAGGCCACGAUGCAUAGCCGAUCUGAGAGGGGUACCGACCACAGUGGAACGGAGUCAGGGCCCGGCCUCCUACGGGAGGAAGCAGUAGGGAGUCUGGGGCAAUAGAAGAAAGUCUGACAGAGCAACGCCGCGUAAGUGAAGAAGGUUUGCGGAUCGUAAAACUCUGUUGUUAGAAAAGCGGGAUCUAACCAAAAAGCCACGGCUAACUCCGUACCAGCAGCCGCGGUAAUAC